rnacentral:rRNA from 1 species
AACGAACGCUGGCGGCAUGCCUAACACAUGCAAGUCGAACGAGACCUCCAGGACCAUUGGCGCCUGGGUUUGUAACCCGUGGGAACCGGCACUUAUGGUCGGCAUAACUCCCCGACAGGGGUGCUAAUACCGGAUAAUGUCUUCUGACCAAAGAUUUAUUGACUUUGGUUGUUCGCGCGUGGGAUUCGCUCGUUCGUAGGGUAAUAGCAUACUAGGGCGAGGAUGCAUACCUGGUCAGAGAGGAUGAUCAGCCACACUGGGACUGAGACACGGCCGAGAAUCUUACGGGAGGGGGGAGUGGCGGACAUUGGAAAACGGGCGAAAGGCUGAAGCAGUAAGGCCGGGUGAGCGAUGAAGGCCUUGGGGUUGUAAUGCGUUAUUAACCGGGAUGAUAAUGACGGUACCGGGAGAAUAAGCUCCGGCUAACUCCGUG